rnacentral:rRNA from 1 species
AAUGAACGCUGGCGGCGCGCCUAACACAUGCAAGUCGAGCGAGAAAGUUCCUUCGGGAGCGAGUAAAGCGGCAAACGAGUGCGUAACACGUGAGAAUUUACCCUUCAGUGAGGAAUACCUUCGAGAAAUUGAAGUUAAUACUGCAUACGUCCCUUCGGGGAGAAAGAUGGCCUCUUUGCUAUCGCUGAGGGAUAAGCUUGCGGACUAUCAGCUAGUUGGUGAGGUAAUGGCUCACCAAGGCGAUGACGGUUAGCCGGCCUGAGAGGGUGAACGGCCACGCUGGAACUUAGACACGGUCCAGACUCCUACGGGAGGCAGCAGUGAGGAAUAUUGCGCAAUGGGCGAAAGCCUGACGCAGCGACGCCGCGUGGAGGAUGAAGGUCUUCGGAUUGUAAACUUCUGUUAAGUGAGACGAAAGACUCAUCUCUAAUACAGAUGAGGGAUGACGGUACCACUAGAGAAAGCACCGGCUAAUCUCGUGCC